rnacentral:rRNA from 1 species
GCGGCAUGCCUUACACAUGCAAGUCGAACGGCAGCACGGGAGCAAUCCUGGUGGCGAGUGGCGAACGGGUGAGUAAAGUAUCGGAACGUGCCCAGUCGUGGGGGAUAACGUAGCGAAAGUUACGCUAAUACCGNAUACGAUCUAUGGAUGAAAGCGGGGGAUCGCAAGACCUCGCGUUAAUAGAUGAGCCUAAGUCGGAUUAGCUAGUUGGUGGGGUAAAGGCCUACCAAGGCGACGAUCUGUAGCGGGUCUGAGAGGAUGAUCCGCCACACUGGGACUGAGACACGG